rnacentral:sRNA from 1 species
AAGACUGUUACCCAAGAUAGCACUGUUAGAUGUGCUGUAGGUUCGAAUCCUGCUGCUGGCAAGGUCCCAUUUUGGGCCACUUCUUACCCAUGAAGGCCCCCGUGACCAGAGGCCAAGCCUAGUGAGACAGUGCUGACAGGGGUGCCGCUUGGCAGUGGUGAGGAUGGUGGCCGCUGGAAGCCACACUCAUUAGUGCCAUGCAGCCCCCCUGCCACUAGUGCUGAUCUAAGCAAGAUCCGAUGAUUACAGAGGGUUGAGUAUAGAGUGCUUAUACAUACUAGCACCUGCCAAGGCCCCCGGCAUCUAGGGGGCCACCCCAACAACAGGG